AAAUAAUCUAAAAAAAAAAAAAAUCAGAUAUCUCAUUCGUAUGUUCUUGCUACCAAUAAAAGAAAAUGAUUGAGAAUGUAUUUGAGCAAGAAAAUAAAAAAGGAAGGCGUAGUCUCCCUUAAUUGCUCAAAUUUUCUUUAUGAAGAAUAAAGUCUCCCAUUGUUAAGGUUCUCCCUUUAACUUUAUGAGAUGUUUCUAUUCUUUUUAUAUUGAAUUAUCAUAUGUAAUAAGCCAAGCCAUGAUCUAGACUAUUAAGGCA